rnacentral:rRNA from 1 species
GAAUCCCAAAAAGUGCGUCGUAGUCCGGAUUGGAGUCUGCAACUCGACUCCAUGAAGUCGGAAUCGCUAGUAAUCGUAGAUCAGAAUGCUACGGUGAAUACGUUCCCGGGCCUUGUACACACCGCCCGUCACACCAUGGGAGUGGGCUGCAAAAGAAGUGGGUAGUUUAACCUUCGGGGGGACGCUCACCACUUUGUGGUUCAUGACUGGGGUGAAGUCGUAACAAGGUAGCGCUAGGGGAACCUGGCGCUGGAUCACCUCCUUA